rnacentral:misc_RNA from 1 species
AACUUUUAACAAUGGAUCACUAGGCUCCUACAUCGAUGAAGAACGCAGCGAAUCGCGAAAUGUAUUGUGAAUUGCAGAAUUCAGUGAAUCAUCGAAUCUUUGAACGCACCUUGCGCCCUGCGGAACUCCGCAGGGCACGCCUGUUUGAGCAUCAUCAACCCCAACCCUCCACCGGUCUGCUCCGGCAGCCGGCGGGAUUUGGGCGGUGCGCAGUGCUAGUAUUACACUAACACAGCGCCCGUCUUGAAUGAUGUCUACAACGCGAGACACGAGUCGCAAGACUCGCCGCGACACACAGUCGCCGCACACCCGGUUACACAGUAGACCAUCGUCCUUACCGACGCGUGUUCCUUGUAUCCGAGUGCGCGCGCGCCGUGCCGCACCUCUAAUUGUGAUCUCAAAUCAGGCGAGACUACCCGCUGAACUUAAGCAUAUCAAUAAGCGGAGGCU